UGAGCAAUUUGGGCUACGUGAUGUCGUUUUCAGCAUGUUCCUGACCAGAAUACGCUGACCGAGCUGGAGAUGGGAUUCUCGGCCAAGCAGGAGAGCAAGAAGGGGCAAAAGCUGGGAGGCCCUGGGCCGAUUCAGAUGCAAGAGCUGUGACGACACUUGGGCAGAUGAGGUCUGAUAAGUGGUCUGAAACGAAUGCCAUCUGGGUGCUGGCAGUGCAGCUGCCCGUGGAGCCGGGAGUCGGGAGCGAGGAAAUGUGUGCGCUUAACAAAUGCUCCAUGUCACAAGCAGAAACCCGAGGAAAGCAGCGUCCCACGCCCAGGGCAGAUCCCCGCCGGCCAGGAGAUGGCCAGCACGGCGCCAGGCCCCGAGCCGGGCUGCGGAGCCGCCGGUGCGACGCUGGCUGCGGGCAGGCUCGGGAAAUCUGGGUCAGAUGGAGCACAAUUGGCUACAGAAAAGGUUGUUUACCUCAGCGGUGCCUGCAGCAGCCGUAAUAAUAUAUGUAAGGAUCAACCCCCUGAUCAGAAGUCAACCUCUCGCCAAGCAAGGUGAUAGGAAGUGACUCGAGGCAACACGGGCUCCCAACCCGCUUGUCCUGCAUCCCAGCUGGAGCCAGGCUGCUGUGAGAUACCACGGAGCAGAGGUGCUCAGCAGCACUGAAGGAACCAGCAGGUCUUGCUCUGGACAAGGAUGUGGAAGCAGGUCCAGGCGCUCUGCAAACCCGGGCUGGUGUUUGCUUUGUCUAGGAAGCAAACUCGUGCCCUGCCCGGUGGAAGGAGCCGGACGCGCAGCGAGGCUGCCCCACCGCCGAGACUGCGAGAGCUUGGGAGGCGGACCCGACCGGUGACAGGGUGGCUUCUCCGGCUAGCAGCUCUGUGCCGGUCCGGGAGAGCCGUCGCGCCUCGGGCAGAGCCCGCAGCCGCCUGCCCGCCGUCGGCACUGCCAGAGCAAUCUCCACCAGCGACAGGGCCACCGUGCAGCUCCCUGUCUGUCUGUCCUACGCGUUUGUCUGCCGUCCGCCAGGACCCUUCUUUCCCGAUUCCUUGUGCUCCCGGGCGCGCGCCGUGUUGUGCAGCUGCAGCAGCCUCCCGCCCCGGCAGCGUUCCCGGGCGGACGACGCCUCUCCUCCGUGCUCGGCUGGGCUGGAGGGUGAGCGGCAGCUUUCCCUCCCGGAGCAGCAGGCUGCUGUUCAGCCCCUCGCUGAGAAACUCACUUAGAAACUGGAAUUAUUUUUGGUGGAUAUUGUAGUAAUGGAGAAUAACUGGGAGACUGAUAGUAACUGUCCUAACGUUGUCAAACAUUGUAAUAAGUAGCUGUGUAUUCCAGAUCUAAAAGCGUAUUUUUCUUCCUUAUUCUGCUUAACAAAUAUUUGUUGCUGAUAAUCAUUCAUUUUGUGGAAGACAGUGAGAUAAAACAGUAUGAAAAAGAAUGAAACAACAUUGUGUGGUCCAGAGGCAUUAAGAAACAGCGAGACUGGGGGAAGAGUUAUCAGUGCACCAUAUGCAGCUGGAAACAAUA